UAUGGCCACAUCACGAUGAAACAACGGUUCCCGUUUGAUCAGCGAAGUUAAGCAAUGUCGAACCGGGUUAGUACCUAGAUGGGUGACUGCUUGGGAAUACCGAG